rnacentral:rRNA from 1 species
UAAUACGAGGGGGGCAAAUGUUGUUCGGAAUCACUGGGCGUAAAGGGAGCGUAGGCGGGUUUUUAAGUUAGGUGUUUAAUCCCGGGGCCCAACCCCGGACCGGCACUUAAAACUGGGAAUCUUGAAUAGUGGAGAGGUCGGUGGAAUUGGGGGUGUAGCGGUGGAAUGCGUAGAGAUCCCCAAGAACACCAGUUGCGAAGGCGGCCGACUGGACACAUAUUGACGCUGAGGCUCGAAAGCAUGGGGAGCAAACAGG